CCAUCCGCCAGAGGACUACAAGUGAAAAACUCAAAACUCUAAGGACUUGACGGUGCCCCACACCAACCUAGAGGAGCCUGUCCUGUAAUCGAUACUCCGCGUUAAACCUCUCCCCCCCUAGCACCAAAUCAGCCUAUAUACCGCCGUCGCCAGCCUGCCUAGUGAUAGUCCCCCAAAGCAAGCAAAACAGCCACCCCGCUAAUACGUCAGGUCAAGGUGUAGCCAACGGGCGGGCCAGAGAUGGGCUACAUUUUCUUCCUACCAGAAAACACUAGAAGCGACAUGAAAUCUGCGCCACACGGCGGAUUUAGCAGUAAACCGGGCAAGAAGCGCCCAGUUGAAGAACGCCCUGGGGCGCGUACACACCGCCCGUCACCCUCCUCAACAAACUUAUUACCCCACUAGAUAAAACCAAACCACCACCACAGAUGAGGCAAGUCGUAACAUGGUAAGCUCACCGGAAGGUGAGCUUGGCACACCCCCCC
rnacentral:rRNA from 1 species